AUACAGUGUUCGGGUUGAUGAGGUAAAAGCCAAGCUCAAGGGUCACCAGAAACAAAUCACGGGGCUUGCAUUUUCCCAGACUUUGGAUAUAUUGGUAUCAGCUGGGGCUGAUGCUCAGCUAUGCAUCUGGGACACUGAAGGAUGGGAAAAGAAGAAAGCAAGGCCCAUACAAGCACCACCUGGCCACCCUUCUCCCCUGAUUGGAGAAACUAAAGUUCAAUUCCAUAAUGAUCAAACCCAUCUAUUAGUGGUCCAUGAAAGCCAAAUUGCUGUUUAUGAUAGCCAGCUCGGAUGCUUGCAAUCACGGUAUCCUAGAGACUCGCUUUCUGCUCCCAUUUCAACUGCAAUAUACUCAUGUGAUGGUAUUGUGGUCUUCACUGGAUUUUUGGAUGGUGCUAUAGGAGUUUUUGAUGCAGAUAAUUUCAGGCUUCGAUGUUGGAUAGCAC